rnacentral:rRNA from 1 species
GACGGAAGGUGCAAGCGUUGCUCGGAAUCACUGGGCGUAAAGGGUGCGUAGGCGGCUUGGUAAGUUGGGUGUGAAAGCCCCGGGCUCAGCCCGGGAAGGGCACUCGAAACUGCCGAGCUGGAGUGCCGGAGGGGAGAGUGGAAUUCCUGGUGUAGCGGUGGAAUGCGCAGAUAUCAGGAGGAACACCGGUGGCGAAGGCGGGUCUCUGGGCAGUAACUGACGCUGAGGAGCGAAAGCGUGGGGAGCGAACAGG